rnacentral:rRNA from 1 species
AGAGCGAACGCUGGCGGCAGGCCUAAUACAUGCAAGUCGAACGGACCCUUCGGGGUUAGUGGCGGACGGGUGAGUAACACGUGGGAACGUGCCCUUUGGUUCGGAACAACUCAGGGAAACUUGAGCUAAUACCGAAUGUGCCCUUCGGGGGAAAGAUUUAUCGCCAUUGGAGCGGCCCGCGUCUGAUUAGCUAGUUGGUGGGGUAAAGGCUCACCAAGGCGACGAUCAGUAGCUGGUCUGAGAGGAUGAUCAGCCACACUGGGACUGAGACACGGCCCAGACUCCUACGGGAGGCAGCAGUAGGGAAUCUUGCGCAAUGGGCGAAAGCCUGACGCAGCCAUGCCGCGUGAAUGAUGAAGGUCUUAGGAUUGUAAAAAUUCUUUCAGCGGGGACGAUAAUGACGGUACCCGCAGAAGAAGCCCCGGCUAACUUCGUGCCAGCAGCCGC